rnacentral:rRNA from 1 species
AUUGAACGCUGGCGGCAGGCCUAACACAUGCAAGUCGAACGAGUGGCGGACGGGUGAGUAAUGUCUGGGAAACUGCCUGAUGGAGGGGGCUCACUACUGGAAACGGUAGCUAAUACCGCAUACCAUCGGAUGUGCCCAGAUGGGAUUAGCUAGGAGGUGGGGUAAAGGCCAACCUAGGCGACGAUGCCUAGCUGGUCUGAGAGGAUGACCAGCCAGACUGGAACUGAGACACGGUCCAGACUCCUACGGGAGGCAGCAGGGGGGAAUAUUGCACAAUGGGCGCAAGCCGGAUGCAGCCAUGCCGCGUGUAUGAAGAAGGCCUUCGGGUUGUAAAGUACUUUCAGCGGGGAGGCGUUACCCGCAGAAGAAGCACCGGCUAACUCCGUGCCAGCAGCCGCGGUAAUAC